GUUGCUGAGAUAGUCGGGGAUCGGGCUGAAGAGAUUGGCGUGGGCCAUAUCGAGGUACUGAAGUUUGGUCAUGCUUCCCAAUUGCCAUGGGAUGCUUCCAUGGUAGAAAUUGUAGCCAAUCUCUACAUGGGUCACUGUCUUUAGGUUACCUAGCUCAGGAGGGAUUUUGCCACUCAGUAAAUUCCUUGCAAGGUGAAGGAAUUCAAGGCUCUUGAAUGACUGUACUUUAGGCACAUCAAUUUAUCACAUGGAGACUAGAGCAACUUCUGGUUGAUAAGGGGAUAAGUUCUGAAAUAGUCCGUUCUGUUCUUUCAGAGCGUGCAAAUUGCCAAUGCUGAGGACCGCUUGCUAUUGAGCGCUUCUUCCCAUUCCGUCUUCACUUUCUUGCUAAUGCUGGGAAAGAUUAUCUUUCGAAAGCAGUGGAAGGAUGUCUUGGCGAUACGCAGAAGACAAGAAGAGAUUUUCAUCCCUCUCAUUUGGACACAACGUCUACAUCACUACAGUGGAUCAUGGUGAACCUGGUGAAGCAUCAGGAUGUGCAGGCCAAGCUGGUGGAAGAGAUCGAUCGGGUUAUGGGGGAUGGACAAGAAGACAUUGAAGACGAGGAUUUGCAGCGGAUGUCAUAUAUGAAGGCAGUGAUCAUUCUAGAAAAGGGAAAGGAAUUGUUGGAUUAUAGAAGCCUGGAAAUGUAAUGUUAUAUUGAAAUUGGAAAUUGGAAAUUGGAAUUGAAAUUGAAAUGUGUACUAGAAACGAAGGAAAAGAUUAUUAUGUGUGAAUCAUUCUAUUGUCUUUUUCUUGUA